AAACUUCUUUAUCACCGAGUGCUUGCACUCACCGAUAAAUUAGUUGAGUGGCGAACGGGUGAGUAACACGUGGGCAACCUGCCCAAAAGAGGGGGAUAACACUUGGAAACAGGUGCUAAUACCGCAUAACCAUAGUUACCGCAUGGUAACUAUGUAAAAGGUGGCUAUGCUACCGCUUUUGGAUGGGCCCGCGGCGCAUUAGCUAGUUGGUGGGGUAAAGGCUUACCAAGGCAAUGAUGCGUAGCCGAACUGAGAGGUUGAUCGGCCACAUUGGGACUGAGACACGGCCCAAACUCCUACGGGAGGCAGCAGUAGGGAAUCUUCCACAAUGGGCGAAAGCCUGAUGGAGCAACGCCGCGUGGGUGAAGAAGGUCUUCGGAUCGUAAAACCCUGUUGUUAGAGAAGAAAGUGCGUGAGAGUAACUGUUCACGUUUCGACGGUAUCUAACCAGAAAGCCACGGCUAACUACGUGCCAGCAGCCGCGGUAAUACGUAGGUGGCAAGCGUUAUCCGGAUUUAUUGGGCGUAAAGGGAACGCAGGCGGUCUUUUAAGUCUGAUGUGAAAGCCUUCGGCUUAACCGGAGUAGUGCAUUGGAAACUGGGAGACUUGAGUGCAGAAGAGGAGAGUGGAACUCCAUGUGUAGCGGUGAAAUGCGUAGAUAUAUGGAAGAACACCAGUGGCGAAAGCGGCUCUCUGGUCUGUAACUGACGCUGAGGUUCGAAAGCGUGGGUAGCAAACAGGAUUAG
rnacentral:rRNA from 1 species